GAGGGGAAGACAGUGAUGGGGAGAGAAAGAUAGGCACCUGCAGACCUGCUUCACUACCUGUGAAGUGACUCCCCUGCGGGGGCCAUACUGUCCAGUGAAGAGGCUGUGCUGCUAGAUUUAAAUAGUCUCAAGGUAUUGCUGUGAUUGAUCUUCCUUUUUCUGACCUGAAAGACAUUGUGGAAAAGCCGAAGAGAUGGCAGUUUCUUGGGGGCCAUACUGUCCAGUGAAGAGGAGGCUGUGCUGCUAGAUUUAAAACAGAAUUUGAAGCUAUUGCUGUGAAGUAUCUUCCAUUUUCUGGCCUGAAAGACAUUCAGGAAAAGAGGAAGAGAUGGCAGUUUCUUGGGGCUCAGUGACCUAUGAAGAUGUAACUGUGACAUUCACUCAAGAGGAGUGGGUACUAUUGAAUCCAUCACAGAAGAAACUCUACAGAGAUGUGAUGUGUGAAAACUUCAGAAACUUUCUUUCAGUAGGUAACUAUAAUUGCCUUAAUUUUUCAACCAGAAGA